rnacentral:rRNA from 1 species
ACGAACGCUGGCGGCGUGCUUAACACAUGCAAGUCGAACGGAAAGGCCCUGCUUUUGUGGGGUGCUCGAGUGGCGAACGGGUGAGUAACACGUGAGUAACCUGCCCUUGACUUUGGGAUAACUUCAGGAAACUGGGGCUAAUACCGGAUAGGAGCUCCUGCUGCAUGGUGGGGGUUGGAAAGUUUCGGCGGUUGGGGAUGGACUCGCGGCUUAUCAGCUUGUUGGUGGGGUAGUGGCUUACCAAGGCUUUGACGGGUGGCCGGCCUGAGAGGGUGACCGGCCACAUUGGGACUGAGAUACGGCCCAGACUCCUACGGGAGGCAGCAGUGGGGAAUAUUGCGCAAUGGGCGGAAGCCUGAUGCAGCAACGCCGCGUGCGGGAUGACGGCCUUCGGGUUGUAAACCGCUUUCGCCUGUGACGAAGCGUGAGUGACGGUAAUGGGUAAAGAAGCACCGGCUAACUACGUG